ACCGUCACAAGGGGGAGCCUGAUGAGGCUGAGAAUGAGAAGACUCUAAACCCUAGAACCUGUUACGUUAGUACGUGCGUAGGAAUUGUGAUGGAGUAGAUA
rnacentral:ncRNA from 2 species